rnacentral:rRNA from 1 species
UACAGAGGGGGCAAGCGUUAUUCGGAAUUAUUGGGCGUAAAGGGCGCGUAGGCGGCUUGGCAAGUGGAAGGUGAAAUCCCUCGGCUUAACCGAGGAACUGCCCUCCAAACUGCUUAGCUUGAGACCGGGAGAGGUGAGUGGAAUUCCCAGUGUAGCGGUGAAAUGCGUAGAUAUUGGGAGGAACACCAGUGGCGAAGGCGACUCCCACGAUGCCGUGUACGACGCUGCUGC